AUUGAACGCUGGCGGCAGGCUUAACACAUGCGAGUCGAGCGGGGUGAUGGUGCUUGCACUAUCACUUAGCGGCGGACGGGUGAGUAAUGCUUAGGAAUCUGCCUAUUAGUGGGGGACAACAUCUCGAAAGGGAUGCUAAUACCGCAUACGUCCUACGGGAGAAAGCAGGGGAUCACUUGUGACCUUGCGCUAAUAGAUGAGCCUAAGUCGGAUUAGCUAGUUGGUGGGGUAAAGGCCUACCAAGGCGACGAUCUGUAGCGGGUCUGAGAGGAUGAUCCGCCACACGGGGACACAGACACGGCCCAGACUCCUACGGGAGGCAGCAGUGGGGAAUAUUGGACAAUGGGGGGAACCCUGAUCUAGCCAUGCCGCGUGUGUGAAGAAGGCCUUAUGGUUGUAAAGCACUUUAAGCGAGGAGGAGGCUCUUUUGGUUAAUACCCAAGAUGAGUGGACGUUACUCGCAGAAUAAGCACCGGCUAACUCUGUGCCAGCCGCCGCGGUAA
rnacentral:rRNA from 1 species